AAAGGUGUAACAGCACCCGGGUGCCUAGGCACCCUCUAUGAACAGUGAAAUCAAAAAAAUAGAAAAAAAGUUUGAAAAAAUCUAAAACUUAACAACAUAUAAGAUGGUCAAACUUUAUAGGUUCUUACAAGUUUUCAUGUCAAAAUAUCAUGUAGAGGAAGGUGUACAAACAAGGUUCAGAUUUAGUGCUAAAAGUGUUCAAAAUUUGAACUACGAAAAUGUUUUUCCUGUGUAGAGCUCCUCAAAUGUUUUUUUGGCAUGAAAACUUGCAAGCACCUAUUUUUUUAUCAUUUUUUAUCUUGCAAAGUUUCAGAUUUUUUCGAAUUUUUUUCUAUUUGUU
rnacentral:lncRNA from 1 species